GUAAAUAAUUUCAUUUGUAUCAUAUUUUAGAUUCCACGUAUAAGUGAUAUAAUAUGGUAAGUUUGUAAAGGAAUUCUAAACAUGAACAUAAUGUAAGUAAUAUUCCUCCUUCCCCAACUGUGUCUACCCUAGUCUUCAGAAAAAAAAAAAGGUGAAAUUUUUUUGGUUGUUGUGAAAAUGGUGACCAUGCUUAUUCUAAUGGUUUAUCAUUAUGAGUUCACUUAAUAACAUAGGAAAUUUCAUAUGCUCACUUAUUUACUUAUAAUUAGAGGCUAUCAGAGAAGUGUGAAUAUAUAGUCUGCCUUGAUUCUAGACAUCUUGAUUCAUAGUCGUAAUUGGUUGGUUGUUAUCUCCUUCAGGGGGGAGCAGAGUCUUGGGGAGAGCAGGUUUAAUAUAUCUUUAGUUAACAAUCUACCAAUAAGAACUGACUUUUGGUAAGACUAUAUAAAUUACAGCAAGAAAAAGAUUAAAAUGUCAGUCUUUACAAUUCUUGACCAACUUGGAUCAUGUUAUUCAUGCUGUCAUUUAUGUUUGAAACUCUUUAUUAACCCAACCCAAGAUUUUCUUCACCUACAUCCUUUCUCCAAACCUCUUCCUUUCCCAGAAUUCUCUCUUAGAUAAUGCCAUAAACAUCCUUCUAGUCACUGGCUGGAAAUCUUGAGACCAUUUCACCUCCUCAUUUUCCUUCAUCUUCUACAUUCUGUGAAAUACCAGUUCUAGUUGGUUCUGUCUAAAGAGUUCCUUUCAUAUGUGCCUUUUUGUUGUUGUUUAACACAAGCAUUGGCUGAUUGCAGGUUCUUGGUAUUUCUUGCUUGAAUAAGUACUAUACUCAAUUCAACUUGAGUAUAGGUUUCAAAUAUUUGCCACCUUCCAUCCAGUAUGCCACUGCCCCUCUUAAAUGCUAUGAAAGUCUUUGCAUUGUAUUUGAGUCUCUUGUAUUGACCCUCUAGUUCAACUACAGUGGCCCACUAUUUCCCCAAGAAAGUCAUUUUCAGAUUUCUGCUUGGUUUAUGCUAGAAAUGGCAAAAUAGGUCUCAACCCUUAGGUCCAAAUCAGAAGCAACCUUUGACACUUUCCAUGUAAUCUGUAUCCUUCUGAGCUAGGAGACAGGGAAGGUUCAUUUGAUAGAGAAGGAAGACUGUAAUAGGACUAGAAACGUACCCUCCUUUUAGCUUCUUCAGCCUCUCCAUGCAUCCAGUGCCUUCCUUCUUUCCCUUCAAUAUGCUCUGAAUGCUGCUGCAUGCUCUGCUUCCUGACCGGGGCAUGGCUUAUUGGGAGGGUCUAGCUGAGAGCUGAAGAAAAGGGGAAAAGCUAAACUUCAAAAAGCAUGCACUUCGCAUGGACAUAGGGUCUGAGGCAUUCCUUGGGGAACACAGAGAACCAAGGACUUGGUGUUAACUCAGCCCAAUUAUUUAUUUACUUAAUCUGACUUCGUUGAUGACCACUUUUCCAAACUUAGGGACAGUUCCAUUUGCAUCUCAGUCCUCUCCUGUAUAAAAACGUGAUGGUGAAUGAAAAAAAAAACAAAAAAACCAAACAGCCAUGUUUCUGCUUGAUGGUAUAUUUCUUAUCACAGCAAAAGUGUCUGAUUGAAAUGGUUAUAAUAGAGCAGAAGAAGCACAGAAGUUAAGGUAAGCGGACCUGUUUGAGUGUGAUGUAGACGUGCUUUUGAAGUACACUCCUGGUGCUCUCUUCUGCCCACACCUUCUCUCCGGCUGUGUGUAGUAGGAAUGAGGGGAGAAAGGGAGAGCGUGUCACAGAUUCUCCCCCACUGCCUAUGAUGUAGCCGCUUCCCCCAUGCAAAGAGGAGACAGACAGCCCUCAACCGGCUCACAGGCUGCUGUUUGAUGUAUUCUAGCCCUGCUAGCUGAGAGCAGACAGACAGUCCUUGUUGAGAGGAAGUUGUGGCCUGAACUCUAGGCUGAAAUGGAGACAAUUGGAUCACUGAACUAGAGGGGUGAAUAAGUUUCUCAGUUAUUAGGAAUUAGCACCAGAGUCCUACAUUGGGAAACACAUUCAGGCCACAGGUAAAAAGCAAACUGGUCAUGAUAAAGCUUGUGGAUCAUGGAGCGGCCCCGCUCUACUCACACCUGUACAUUUGCUAGAGGGGAGAAGUUUUUCCAAAAUGAGAAGUCAUAGCCUGUAAAUAUUAAGUGGCCAGCUGUGAACCACUGCAAAGCCAAUCUGGACACAUUUUAAUUGGAAUAAGAGCCAGAGAAGUAGCCAAAUGGACAUCUGCCAAAGGAAUGGAAGUAGAUCUUGGUAGUACUUGAUUGCCCACUGGGGAUAAAGGGCAGCAGAUCAAGUGGUGGAAGUUAGAACCUUGUGAGAACAGAAAUGGGGCUAGAAAGUAUGGCAAUGUAAGUUUUCUUUCCAUAGAUUAGCAACAACUAAAGGCAGAUAAAUCAUUCAUCCUUUAAAUCUUAACAUUUUCUUUGGAAUGAUAGUGUAGUUUACCUAAACUUUUUUCCUUAGUUCUGGUGAAAUAACUCGAAGUUUAAUUUCUUUGUGUAUAUUUCUUCAGUUCCUGCAUUGGCAGACCUUCAAAAUAAUAACCCCCCUUAGAUUUAAUACAAAGUCGGUUUAAACUAUGAUAAAAUUAUUUAGAUAUUGCUCUAGGCUCUUAUUGGAGUGUAAAUGUAUGCAUCUUAAUAGAAUGUUGGAUGGAAGUAGUCUCGAGCUAUCAUCCACAUCCGUGGCAUCAAUGACUAGGGAUUUAACAAUGCAUUGUGAACUGAGUUCUUUUCUUCAUCUUCAGUUAUUUUGAACUUUUUCAUCUUCUCUGAGAGCAGGAAGGUGGGAUUUAAGGAAAGGAUAUCUGAGUGCUGGGACAGGCACACGUUCAGAGAAGACCAUUAUGAAAAUUCUGAAAUAAAGAGCAAGUAGAGCAUAGAGCCUGUCAUUCCCUUCGUGACAUGUUAAAGCGAGGCUAGUCCAGAAGGGAUUUUUUGGUGACUGCAUCAAGGCACACAACCAGUUUGGGAUGAAAAUUUGUUAACACCGAAUCUUGAAAAAUGAAGACGGAUGAACUAAUUUGUAAUCCUCAUCAUUAUUUUCUCCCUCUGGCUACAGGUAAUGGAAUGUGACUGUUAACUUUGCUGAGUGUGUGGAAAUGGUGCUGUGGAAAUAUUUCGUAAAAAAUAUAGCAUCUCCAACUGAUGUCUCUAACAUGAGAGACAUGUAUAAUUACAAAAAGAAGAUACAAUUCCAAUGGCAACUGGUAAUAGAAUCUUAGAGUUGAGGUAAUAGUUCCAUUAAAAAAUUGAAAGUUAUAAGCAGUCUCUGUCAUUUUAUGAAAAUGUGUUUUAUUCUCUAAUUUUUUGAGAAAGAAAAAGAAGUGUAGCCCAUUACCAGUCCAAACAAAGGGAAGCAGCUGAUAGAUUUUUGGAAAGUGCUGAUUGUAUAUGUGAGCAGCCCAUGGUCUGCUUGCUCCUGGAGAGGAGCAUUCUCAAACUUGAAAUUUUCCAGUGUUUGGCAGGCCCGGGAAGUGUCAGCAAUGGUUAAGUGAGAAUGAGAUUUGGUGACCUUUAGAGUGGUUUGGCUAGAAAACCUGAGGAAAUACUCAGGGGUACCAUCCCAGCUGACAGGGAGUAGUGUGUUUCCUGGGUACUGGAAUGGCAGGGGGUGGAGUUGGUCCUUGGGAUGGAUGUGCACCUGCUUUCUGAGAGGUGAGAGGGAGACGCAAGAGGGAAGAGAUAUGGGGAUAUAUGUUUAUGUAUAGCUGAUUCACUUUGUUAUACAACAGAAACUAACACACCGUUGUAAAGCAAUUAUACUCCAAUAAAGAUGUUAAAAAAAAUAAGGGAUUUGGUUUUUCUCCGACAGGGGUGACUUAGAUGUCAUCCUCUCUGGGACAGAGAUGUCCUUAUGUCUCUGAGGUUUGACGAAUUUCCUAAGAGACCACAGGGAUGUGUUCUUUGACCUGGACUAGUUUUGAUAUGGGGUGGCACUUAAAUUACCUGUUCUCAGGCUUGAGUUUCUUGCUUUAUCUCUGCAUUGCCCUCACAUUCUCCCAGAGCCACAUUCCCGCUGCUCUGACACCUGCUUCUCUGAACUCUGGAGGAAGUUCUGCGCAUCCGACAGGGCGAGUGAGGUCAGUGGAACACUGAGCCCAGCAAGGCAGAAAUAAAGAAAAUGCAGCAGUCAUUCUGGACGGUGGUAGGGUUAUGUCCCAAGAAGAAGAAAACACGAGCACUUCAAGGACACAGGAAUUUGUCAGAAUGCUUUCUUUGCCAAAUCCUAGCAGAGGUCUGCCCUCAGUCCACUGUCAAGAACAAUUUCCUGUUCUCUUUUUCCAGCCUGCAUGUCAGUUCUGUGGAGAAAGACUUGGCUUCCAUUGAUGGCCUGUCAAAUUUAGCUGAGUUUCGUACCUUUGCCAAAACGUUUAACCAUUUCCUCUGGACAGCUGAAAUCCAAAUAGAACCUACCCAGUAACCUUAUUUGCUUUCAUGAAUUAUUAAAACUGCUAAAAUUUUACCUGUCAGUCUCUCCUUUGAAAGCAGUGGGAAAUCUGAGGAUAAUUUUUUGCUGAGAAAUAAGUAAGACAUGAUCUUAAAGGUAAAAUUUUAAAGGUGAUCACGUCCCACAAGCCCAAAGAGUUUCCAUUGUAAUAGCCCAGCUGCUGGUCGCAUGCCACAUUCAUGCAACAGUGAUUCAUUUUUAGAUCUUGCCAUCAAAAUGCAUACAGCUCAACCCAGUAGAACAGCUAGCACUGAUGGGAGCAAGUGGGCAAUUCAUCUAAACACAAAGUGCUGCAGGAGACCUGAAAUGUUUCUUCAGAGAUCUUUCUUCCUACAUUUGCUGAUUUCUUUUAAAGAGUAUAGAAAUAGAGACUAUUUGUGCUUAACUUUAUGUAAGUUUCUAUUCAGAUAUGGUUUCUUGUAAUGUAGGAAACAUUUUUAUUUUUAAUUUCAGAAGCAUCGUGGCCUGAAAUGUGACAGUAAAGAAGCCAGGGUAAGGGUUUGCACAGAAAAACUUAAGAUGUUUGGUUUCAGUCGUUGCAAAGGAGAAUGGUUUCUGCCUAGAGACUUAGUUUGGUGAUGUUAGAAAAUCACAAAGAUAAGAAGACUGAAUUAAAGACAUUUUAACUAGGCACCUCAAGAACAGUGGUCUCACAUUGAAAAUGUUUUGCAAAUCAAACGUUUGGUAACUUCAAUUCAGAUGCAUUUAAUGUGAACUCAAAUAUGUGGUAAGUAUGUGUAAUCAGAAAGCGUCUACUUUCUAUCAGUUUGUGGUUAUAUGAAGACAAUUGACGUUAAUUUCCAAGACUCACUAUUUGGUAGCCUUCUAGCGUGUAACCGUAAAGCACCAGCGCCCGGCACAGUUGUCCCCAAGGAGUGACCCACACCCUCUGCCGGGCGCUGUCUCAUCCCUGAGCCAGGCGCUUUGUCUUCUGGCCAUCAGCCUGGCCUUAGGGACAGCCCUACGUUGGGUCGUGUCCUCAUGGGGGAUCCUCCUGGCAGUUGUCUUCUGAAACAGCCCAACUGUCACCACCUUCAAUUGCUAAAAUGACAAAACCCUACGGUAUGAAACAAUCCUGUGUCCCCUUCAGUCCUCAGUCUACCCAGGGGCCACAUUGUAGUCUGUGUGGAGUUGGUUGUCUUUUUCCUAUUUUGAACUUCACUUUGGAUCUGGACCCUUUUUACUUGUGCUCUGAGUCUUACUAAAUCAUUUGUGAAAACAGUCCUUUGAUUUUCUGCUUGAGAGUAACUUCCUCUUAGAGGCUAAAAAACUGGCUGGUACUAGACCAGAGGCCGUCACAUUUCCCUUUCAGUCCUCCACUGGGUUCCAGGAAAUAAAUCAUCCCCUAUAAUUAGACCCCGAUGUGUUGCCCCAGCAAUAGCACUUCAUCAUUCACCCCCUGAAAAGACUGCAUUUCCUUUAGGGCCAUCCAGAACCACUGCUGAUGCAUAGCAAAAGCCAACUCUAUUGUAAAGACAGUAGAGCCAUAAAACUCUGCAAAAUUCACACAUCUAAAAUUGUUUCCAGACAGACCUACAGUCUUUAAUGUCAUCCCCUUCUCUCCUCACGCCAAACACCUCUUUCCAGUAACUCCAGAAAGUGAAGAGAUAUGGUAAACCUGAAACUUCUGUGUGACAAAGAGCUCUACAGUUGUGAUUGCUUCAGCACAUGUAGUCAACAGGGGAGCUGGGAAAGUUUAUUUCUACUUCAUUCAGGUGGUUUCAUGUUUUUGAAGAAAGUGAGGAAGAGAUUUGGUUGGCUAUUGCAGAAGGGAGCAUGCAGGACCCUCCAUCUCUCUAACAGAUAAGAGGAACCAUGAUAUCCACGUGUAUCCAAAGGCCAGUUUUGGAUCAAAGCAGGUGGGCAGCUGACCCUCUGAGUUCCAGUUACCCUGUGGAAGAAUCAGAUUUUACGGUAUGACG